UCUUCUCUAUAUUGAUGCAUUUGCACAUCUCUGAAUUUUAAAGUAUACUUGGCCUGUGCUCCUGCUGGGAACGAAGAAAACUGUUAGGCUUGGCUCUGUGAAGUGGCAAACAACGAAAAGACUAACUGAACCAUGUUCAAUCUGAAAAGAAGACAGAAGACACUCAUUUACACAUAAUCAGUAUUCAGUAUAGUCAAGUAAAUAGGCGAACUUCAGUAUUUUAUGCUCAUAUUUCAGGAUAAAGCUGUAUCCCAUGUAUCCCAGGGACACCAUCUUCAGGCUUUUUAGCACUGUCCAUACUUUGCCUUAUACUAUUAAAUGCAGAGUGUAGAACCAUGUUGAACAAGAUAAUCAGGUUUCAGUCCAAAUACUCUUUGGCAACGACCUUUAUUAAUAAUUUCACCAUGCCACUUAAUUAGUACUUUAGGAGUUCCUUUUAGCACCGGUAAUUGUUUGUACCAGGUGUAAACAGGGCACUAGCAUACCAUCAGAUUCUUACUACCUGACUUUAUUUGUUAAUGAAGGCUACGGAAAAUAGACAGAGAAAUCAUUUUAAUUAGAAAGAUGGCGUAUCUAACAUUAUAAGCGAAAUGGAAAACUAACUUAGCUCUCUUAUACUCUACCAAAAUUUAUUCUACAAGAAUUGUCACCUUACCUUCGUAAAGCCUUUUUAUUUGUUUUAAAGUUUUCCAUUUUUAUCUUUGCUACAGUUAAUUGUGACAAACCAAGAUGAAAUUACUUUUCAUCUUCAUUUUAUAUCCUUUCAUUAUAUAAUGCUAGGUGCGACGUGUGUUGUUCUAUGCUCAACUUUACAUGUUAUUUGCUCAGAUCACAAGUGACUAUUUCAAUAUAUUCCAGAUUUUGUUCUUUCUUGUGUUCUGCAAGAUACACUUACCACCAUUUCUGAUAUCAUAUGAAAUAUAAGGUAUCAAAGCAGUACAUCUUUUAUACAUCGGAUUUGGGAUAAUUUUCUGAUGCUCAUAAAACAGUAUUGUGCUAUUAUGUGCCUUACAUGAUUCUGGCAUAUUUUCUUACUAGAUUUGCAUCCCUGGAGUUAAGGAAUUGAUGAUCGCCCUUGCAGGAUUGUAUGAGUUGUUGUAACCAUCUUUGAUUUAGAGGAGUUUCAAGUUAUCUGACCACUUCGUGAGACAGUGACAGACUUCACCAGAGUUUUAUCAGUGAAAAUUCAUGGUGCAAGAAUGCUAUCAAGGUUAGGUCUUUGUUUUGGUUUUUAUUGAAAUAUCUAUGUUGCUUACCCUCCAUAUCGUUUUUCUUUCAAUAAAUCAUUAGCUGAAAGAGUUGGCAUCUAUACUUAUAUUGCUUCUUACUAUUAUUUUGGGGUUCAUUUCUGUUGUCUAAAUGAUUGGCACAUUGUGUGCGUAUUUUCUUGCUCUCAGGUAUUCUCCACAAAGGUGUAAAUUAUAAUGCAUGAUACAAAUGAUAGAAAAUGACAUGUAGUGUAUUUUUUCAGCUUACACUAACUUGCAGCCUAUGUUAUCUCCAAACUUUCAUUUUCUCACUCUUACUGCAUCAACAUGUUUGAGUUAGCUUCUCAAAUUCAGUUACUCUAGCUUUCAUUGUCAAUACAAAUUUGCUUUAAUUCUGCGAUUAGAUGUUUUUGAUCCAUAGGAUUGUGAAGUUUUUGUUGGAUAUUAUCUCUUGUGGCCCGUAGUGGAAACGAUGAGGACUGUCUCUGGCUCUUCUUCUUUUUUUCCCUAAUGAUCUGAUGUUCCUUGCGUAAAGUGUCGCGGUUUUGGGCGAUCGGGAUUUGCUUUGCAAGGUGUUGCACUGCAUUGUGACCUAGGUUUUCUUUGGUCGGGGUUCAAUUUGCGUCGUCAUCUAGCCGGUUAGAGUGGCAAUUUACACUGAUUCAUUUAAGGAGGUCUUGCUUAGAGCCCAUCAAUGGAACAUAUUCUAUGCCCAUCAGCGGCGGCGGCUCUGCGCGUCAACGAACAAUUCAGAUUAGAAUUGCAGAUGAUCUAUCAUCCCCUCUAUUGUUUAGCUCAAGCCAAUCUACAAACUUGCACGAACCUCUAUCGGCGUCAUUUGUUUCAGGCCAGUAGGAAGAUGUAUGGUCCAGUCAAACCAUGUAAUGUUGUUGUCUGGCCCAGUCCACUGAACCGGCAUAUUCUCCGUAUAAUCCAGUGUGAAUGACCUUGUCCAUCUAAGUAUCCCUGCUUA